UACGUAGGGUGCGAGCGUUAAUCGGAAUUACUGGGCGUAAAGCGUGCGCAGGCGGUUUUGUAAGCCAGAUGUGAAAUCCCCGGGCUUAACCUGGGAAUGGCAUUUGGGACUGCAAGGCUUGAGUGCGGCAGAGGAGACUGGAAUUCCUGGUGUAGCAGUGAAAUGCGUAGAUAUCAGGAGGAACACCGAUGGCGAAGGCAGGUCUCUGGGCUGACACCCGACGCUCAUGCACGAAAGCGUGGGGAGCAAACAGG
rnacentral:rRNA from 1 species